rnacentral:tRNA from 1 species
GGUCCCGUCGACAAGUGGUCUAAGUCGUCGCCCUUUCACGGCGGAGUCGUGGGUUCGAAUCCCGCCGGGAUCACCA